rnacentral:rRNA from 1 species
AUUGAACGCUGGCGGCAGGCCUAACACAUGCAAGUCGAACGGGUGGCGGACGCGUGAGUAAUGUCUGGGAAACUGCCCGACGGAGGGGGAUAACUACUGGAAACGGUAGCUAAUACCGCAUACCAUCGGAUGUGCCCAGAUGGGAUUCGCUUGUGGGUGAGGUAAAGGCUCACCUAGGCGACGAUUCCUAGCUGUUCUGAGAGGAUGACCAGCCACGCGGGAACGGAGACACGGUCCAGACUACUACGGGAGGCAGCAGUGGGGAAUAUUGCACAGUGGGCGCAAGCCUGGUGCAGCCAUGCCGCGUGUAUGAAGAAGGCCUUCGGGUUGUAAAGUACUUUCAGCGGGGAGGCGUUACCCGCAGAAGAAGCACCGGCUAACUCCGUGCCAGCAGCCGCGGUAAUAC